UCUUAGUCUGCUGCAAUAAUGAAACCAGUACUUGAGGAAGCCACGGAAAUAUUGAACACCGGUGGGAAAGGUCAUGGUUGAGGGAAUAAAGGACCUAGAAGAAUGAAGACUGGAGAUGAAGACAGCAAAUGUUGCUUAUAUUUAUUUUUGCAGCCCAGAGCAUGAAGGAUGAAAAUUACUUAAAACUGAGUAGGACAAGCAAAAAGGCAGCAGCAGACAGAUCAGCUAAGAUGGUAACAGAAGGUCAAUCUUCAAUCUUGAACAGCGGGUGGAAGGACCUAAGCAAGAAUUUUAUUUCUUCAAAUAUUAAAAGUCAGAUGCUUGAAACCAGUACAGCCAUCUUACGUGCAUAAAUAUAAAAGAAUAUUACCACUCUUACAAUUGUCCCUUUUCUCCUGUUCCUUGUAGUCUGUUUUGUUUCAGUCCUCCCAAAUCUUGUCACUUCAAUGUUCUUUUUUUUUUUUUUUUAAUUUUACUUUAAGUUCUGGGAUACAUGUGCUGAACGUGCAGCUUUGUCACCUAGGUAUACAUGUGCCGUGGUGGUUUGCUGCACCUAUCAACCCAUAAUCCAGGUUUUAAGCCCAGCAUGCAUUAGGUAUUUGUCCUAAUGCUCUCUCUCCCCUUGUCCACCGCUCCCCAACAGACCCCGGUGUGUGAUGUUCCCCUCCCUGUGUCCAUGUGUUCUCAUUGUUCAACUCUCACUUAUGAGUGAGAACACGUGGUGUUUGGUUUUCCGUUCCUGUGUUAGUUUGCUGAGGAUGACGGUUUCCAGCUUCAUCCAUGUCCCUGCAAAGGACAUGAACUCAUUCUUUCUUACGGCUGCAUAGUAUUCCAUGGUAUGUAUGUGCCACAUUUUCUUUAUCCAGUCUAUCAUUGAUGGGCAUUUGGGUUGGUUCCAAGUCUUUGCUAUUGUAAAUAGUGCUGCAAUAAACAUUACGUGUGCAUGUGUCUUUAUAGUAGAAUGAUUUUUAAUCCUUUGGGUAUAUACCCAGUAAUGAGAUUGCUGGGUCAAAUGGUAUUUCUGGUCCUAGAUCCUUGAGGAAUUGCCACGCUGUCUUCCACAAUGGGUGAACUAAUUUACACUCCCACCAACAGUGUAAAAGUGUUCCUAUUUCUCCACAGCCUCACCAGCAUCUAUUGUUUCCAGACUUUUUAAUGAUCGCCAUUCUAUCUGGCACGAGAUGAUAUCUCAUUGUUGUUUUGAUUUGCAUUUCUCUAAUGACCAGUGAUGAUGAGUUUUUCUUUAUAUAUUUGUUGGCUGCAUAAAUUUCUUCCUUUGAAAAGUAUCUGUUCAUAUCCUUCGCCCACUUUUUGAUGGGCUUGCUUGUUUUUUUCCUGUAAAUUUGUUUAAGUUCCUUGUAGAUUCUGGGUACUAGACCUUGGUCAGAUUGCAAAUAUUUUCUCCUAUUUUGUAGGUUCCCUGUUUACUCUGAUAGUUUCUUUUGCUGAGCAGAAGCUCUUUAGUUUAAUUAGAUCCCAUUUGUCAAUUUUUGCUUUUGUUGCAAUUGCUUUUGGUGUUUUAGUCAUGAAGUCUUUGCCCAUGCCUAUGUCCUGAAUGGUAUUGCCUAGAUUUUCUGUCAAAUCUUGUCACUUCAAUGUUCUUUUAUCCUAUCUAACAAAUAGGUCCUGGGUGACUGGAUACACAAAGCUUAUAGCUACUAUUGGAAAGCAUGGCAAUUUCCUAAAAUUGCUCUGUGCUGUGUGCUCCGACCAUCACAGAAAAAAAAUGUAUUCAAAAAUUAUAUUUUAUAACAUAUUAAACAUUGAGUACCUAUUGAAUACAAAACAAUGUGCUGAUAAGACAGAACUGUGUUUAUCCAAAGUUAUACUGCACUAGUGCUUCUGAAGAUUGGGAAUCCCUUAUUUAAAGAAAACGCCAUGGGAUGGAAACUUGAGUUAUGAAAGUCUCAUUUCUAUAAUUACCACCACCCUCUCCAGUCUCUUUCCCCCAACUUGCCUUUUCUCAUCUAUAAAAUGCACAGUUCACUGAUUUAGGUGGUCUGCUCAUUGAUUUGUAAACAUGGAUCGAGAUGCCAGACCAUCAUUCAUGCACAUUGGCCUUGUUCACAGACAUAGAAACUAAAAUAAAUUAGACUUGGGCCAGCAAGCGAUCAGCAUGACCUCAGGAGGCAGAGACUGCGUGUCCCUCACAGGCCUUCCCUGGCCUUCCUUCAGUGUUAAACAGUGAUUCAACAUGGUCCCGACCUGACCAAGCUUGGUCUCCUCAACACCAGAAGAUUCUGAGUCUCCCAACACCUGCAAAGGUUCAGACAUCUGCCCUGAGAUGUUAAACAAUCCAUUCUGGUCUAGCUAGCACCGGGGGAAAAGAAAGGUCUUGAAACAACACAAGAUGUUUCAAACUUAGCCUUCGAGAAAAAUAAAAACAAUAUAGGUUCAUUUGUAGAAAGUUUGGGAAAUGUAGAAAAACACAAAGAAAUAAUAAAAUUUACCUAUAACUAUGUUUUCCA
rnacentral:lncRNA from 1 species